CAAAGUUGUCCUUAACAUGGCUACUAAAAACUUCUGUAUCAUAGUGUAAGUCAUCAUAUCCUGGUGUUCAAGGACAUGAAAAUGAUAGCUCUUGUCCUCAGGGACCUUGCAGUAAGAUUCUUACACAUGACAAAAGCAAGAAGAAGGGGACUAUAGAGGAAUUUGCCCUUCAUUUUCCAUACAGAUUAGCUUGGCCAACGAGCUCUGAGAUGUCAAGAACUAAGCCAUGGGAGUCUCAGAAGCGCCUUCGAGAGAAGCUGCCCCUUCAGAAAAGCCUGAAGCCCACCUUGUCCAUUCCAAGCAAAGGGAGUCACGUUCUGGUGACCUCAGUGAUGCCUCCUCCAAGAAACACCGACAUUCCUCCUCUGAGAAACCCCUUAGAGGACAGGUUACUUAGCAGGCACUUUCCAAAGCAAAAGGCCCGGCUGCAGGAAAUGCUGGGCUACCGCAUGUAUGGGUGGCUCACAGGGAGAGCAGAGGCAUCAAGCAAUCAGGGGUCACGCUUGGUGGUGGAAUUCAACAGCAUCAACUUCCCAACCUCAACCGCUGUUCACUCAUCAUGAUGUAGGAUUCUACUAGCUCUUAAUCACGGUCACUGGGCAGUCAACAGUGGAGCUCUCCACCCGAGAAAGAGACCUCCCUUCUCUAUUAUGGGCCAGUAGUUCCUUCCAGUGGAGCUGAGUGGACGGAUGGUCUGAGGCCCUCAGGGUAUAUUAGUAUCAAUCUGUUAGGUCAGUCUUUAAAAAGACCACCACCUCAACCCAGAAGUUGUUACAGUUGCUGGAAAUUAUGUGAUUCCAAUAAACACUGGUGACUCAAAAUAAUUACUUAUCUU
ensembl:lncRNA